CCUACGGGAGGCAGCAGUGGGGAAUAUUGGGCAAUGGGCGCAAGCCUGACCCAGCAACGCCGCGUGAAGGAAGAAGGCUUUCGGGUUGUAAACUUCUUUUCUGAGGGACGAAGAAAGUGACGGUACCUCAGGAAUAAGCCACGGCUAACUACGUGCCAGCAGCCGCGGUAAUACGGAGGGGGCAAGCGUUAUCCGGAUUUAUUGGGCGUAAAGGGCGUGUAGGGGGGAAAGCAAGUCAGAUGUGAAAUCUCAGGGCUCAACCCUGGGCCUGCAUUUGAAACUGUUUUUCUGGAGUGCUGGAGAGGCAAGCGGAAUUCUGGGUGUAGCGGUGAAAUGCGUAGAGAUACGGAGGAAUACCAGUGGCGAAGGCGGAUUGCUGGACAGUAACUGACGCUGAGGCGCGAAAGCGUGGGGAGCAAACAGGAUUAGAUACCCUGGUAGUC
rnacentral:rRNA from 1 species